GACAGAGGGUGCAAACGUUGCUCGGAAUUACUGGGCGUAAAGCGUGCGUAGGUGGUUUUUUAAGUCCGUUGUGAAAGCCCUGGGCUCAACCUGGGAAUGGCAGUGGAUACUGGAAAGCUAGAGUGCGGUAGAGGGUAGUGGAAUUCCCGGUGUAGCAGUGAAAUGCGUAGAGAUCGGGAGGAACACCAGUGGCGAAGGCGGCUACCUGGACCAGCACUGACACUGAGGCACGAAAGCGUGGGGAGCAAACAGG
rnacentral:rRNA from 1 species